UACGGAGGGUGCAAGCGUUAUCCGGAUUUACUGGGUUUAAAGGGUGUGUAGGCGGGCUUUUAAGUCAGUGGUGAAAUCUCCGGGCUCAACCUGGAACUGCCAUUGAUACUAUUAGUCUUGAAUUUUGUUGAGGUAGGCGGAAUAAGUCAUGUAGCGGUGAAAUGCAUAGAUAUGACUUAGAACACCAAUUGCGAAAGGCAGCUUGCUAAACAAAUAUUGACGCUGAGGCACGAAAGCGUGGGGGAGUCAAACAGGA
rnacentral:rRNA from 1 species